rnacentral:lncRNA from 1 species
CUCUUUAACUCUUCACUCGGAAGCGGUGGAGCCGCGUGGGGCGCUGCGGGGAGUGGGAGUGUACCCGCCCGCACCCCAGGCGGGCGGACGGAGCGGGAACGGCACGUGAGCGUCCCGCGCGAGGCUCCUUCCCCUGUCCGCAUUUCACAGAAGAGGAUCCCGAGGGUCCGAGAGGCUGAGUCACUUGGCCAAGGUCACCCAGUUCGGGGCUGAACUGGAAUCAAAUCAAAACAAUUAACUAAAUUCAAUGACUAUGAAAAGAUAUUAUUGACCCCCCCCCCAAGUGCUAUUACUAUUAAUAGCCAAAUACUGUUUUAGUUGCAUCUGUUAAUUGCAUACAUCAGUGGUUCUUCUUCUGGGUGACUUUGCCCCCUAGGGGAUAACUUGGCAAUGUCUGAAAACACGGUUUUGGUUGUCACAACUUGAGUGCGGGGUGCUGCUGGCAUCGAGUGGGUCCAGACCAGACAUGCCGCUCAGCACCCUGCAGUGCACACGACGACCCCCCAAAAAGAAUGAUACCCGUCCUCCAAUGUCAGCAGAAGGAGGUGGAAAAACCGGUCUAGGCUGACGGUAGUAAACAGGUGACCCGCAGGGUUUUGUAAAACCGGGUACGUGCUGCCUACUGCUUUUCUCCUUAAUCUCACAGCACAUUGACAGCCUGAUCGUUUGGUUUAUUCAUCAUCACAGAAUUAAAUAAAUACAAGGAACAAGGCCGGGUGAGGUGGCGCACGCCUAUAAUCCCAACACUUUGGGAGGCCGAGGAUCAAUUUAGGUCAGGAGAUCGAGACCAGCCUAGCCAACAUAUAUAGUGAAACCCCGUCUCUACUAAAAAUACAAAAGAAAAUUAGCCGGGCGUGGUGGUGGGCGCCUGUAAUCCCAGCUACUCGGGAAGCUAAGGCCGGAGAAAUGCUUGAAGGCAGGAAGUAGAGGUUGCAGUGAGCCGAGAUCGCGCCACUGCACACCAACCUGGGCAACAGAGCAAGACUCCCUCUUAGAAAAAAAAGGGCCGAGCAUGGUGGCUCACUCCUGGAAUCCCAGCAGUUUGGGAGGCCAAGGUGGGCGGAUCACGAGGUCAGGAGAUCGAGACCAUCCUGGCUAACAUGGUGAAACCCCGUCUCUACUAAAAGUACAAAAAAUUAGCUCGGCAUGGUGGCAGGCGCCUGUAGUCCCAGCUACUCAGGAGGCUGAGGCAGUAGAAUUGCUUGAACCCAGGAGGCAGAGCUUGCAGUGAGCCGAGAUCGUGCCACUACACUCCAGCCUGGGCGACACGGCAAGACUCUGUCUCAAAAAAAAAAAAUACAAGGAACAAGAUCACAGACAAAUAGUACAAAACACUUUUUUUUCUUUUAUUUUGAGACAGGCUCUCACUCUGUUGCCCAAGCUGGAGUGCAAUGAUGCAGUCAUAGCUCACUGCAGCCUUGAACUCCUGGACUCCAGCUAUCCUCCCUCCUCAGCCUCCCAAGUAGCUGGGACUAAAACCCCAUUUAAAAUAAAACUGGCCGGAU